GUAAUUUCGUGAAAAAGGCAAAACAGACGAAUCCAGCAAUCUUAGUCUAUACAUAGGGAUCUGUCACACGGCUCCCCCCUUGUGGAACACUCCGGCAGACCCGGCUUGACCCUGUGGCGGGUCAACUUGGGGAUGACCGGACUAGGAGGAAAUAGGGACGUCUGUUUGCCGGGACAAUCCAUCAGCAUUCCCAUUCUGCUUACCGGGUCGGUAGUUGAUGGUGAAGUUGUAAGGUUGCAGCGCC